rnacentral:rRNA from 1 species
GAAGUGAGAAUGCCGGUAUGAGUAGCGAAAGACGGGUGAGAAUCCCGUCCACCGAAUGACUAAGGUUUCCUGGGGAAGGCUCGUCCUCCCAGGGUUAGUCGGGACCUAAGGCGAGGCCGAAAGGCGUAGUCGAUGGAUAACAGGUUGAUAUUCCUGUACUUCUGUUAAUUGUUUGAGCAAUGGAGGGACGCAGGAGGCUAAGUUGAGCGUACGACUGGAAAUGUACGUCCAAGCAGCGAGUCCGCUGAUGAGUGAAAUGCUUGUCACAUACGGGGUGAGCUGUGAUGGGGAGCGAAAUAUAGUAGCGAAGCAACUGACGUCACACUGCCGAGAAAAGCUUCUAGUGAGAUGAACAGAACCCGUACCGCAAACCGACACAGGUAGUUGAGUGGAGAACACUAAGGUGAGCGAGCGAACUCUCGUUAAGGAACUCGGCAAAAUGACCCCGUAACUUCGGGAGAAGGGGUGCUGACAGCGAUGUCAGCCGCAGUGAAUAGGCCCAGGCGACUGUUUAUCAAAAACACAGGUCUCUGCAAAAUCGAAAGAUGACGUAUAGGGGCUGACGCCUGCCCGGUGCUGGAAGGUUAAGAGGAGAGGUUAGUCCUUGAGGCGAAGCUUUGAAUUGAAGCCCCAGUAAACGGCGGCCGUAACUAUAACGGUCCUAAGGUAGCGAAAUUCCUUGUCGGGUAAGUUCCGACCCGCACGAAAGGCGUAAUGAUUUGGGCACUGUCUCAACGAGAGACUCGGUGAAAUUUUAGUACCUGUGAAGAUGCAGGUUACCCGCGACAGGACGGAAAGACCCCAUGGAGCUUUACUGUAGUUUGAUAUUGAGUGUUUGUGUGACAUGUACAGGAUAGGUAGGAGCCGAAGAGAUGGGAACGCCAGUUUCCAAGGAGGCAAUGGUGGGAUACUACCCUUGUUACAUGAACCCUCUAACCCGCACCUAGAAGCAAGGUGGGAGACAGUGUCAGACGGGCAGUUUGACUGGGGCGGUCGCCUCCUAAAAUGUAACGGAGGCGCCCAAAGGUUCCCUCAGAAUGGUUGGAAAUCAUUCGAAGAGUGUAAAGGCAGAAGGGAGCUUGACUGCGAGACCAACAAGUCGAGCAGGGACGAAAGUCGGGCUUAGUGAUCCGGUGGUACCGUAUGGAAGGGCCAUCGCUCAACGGAUAAAAGCUACCCUGGGGAUAACAGGCUUAUCUCCCCCAAGAGUUCACAUCGACGGGGAGGUUUGGCACCUCGAUGUCGGCUCGUCGCAUCCUGGGGCUGUAGUCGGUCCCAAGGGUUGGGCUGUUCGCCCAUUAAAGCGGUACGCGAGCUGGGUUCAGAACGUCGUGAGACAGUUCGGUCCCUAUCCGUCGCGGGCGUAGGAAAUUUGAGAAGAGCUAUCCUUAGUACGAGAGGACCGGGAUGGACGCACCGCUGGUGUACCAGUUGUUCUGCCAAGGGCAUCGCUGGGUAGCUAUGUGCGGGAUGGAUAAGCGCUGAAAGCAUCUAAGCGUGAAGCCAGCUUCAAGAUGAGAUUUCCCAUUCGAAAGAAGUAAGACCCCUGAGAGACGAUCAGGUAGAUAGGCUAGAAGUGGAAGUGGAGUGAUCCAUGGAGCGGACUAGUACUAAUCGGUCGAGGUCUUAACCAC